rnacentral:tRNA from 2 species
GCUCACGUAGCUCAGUCGGUAGAGCACUUCCUUGGUAAGGAAGAGGUCGAUGGUUCGAUUCCAUUCGUGAGCA